rnacentral:rRNA from 1 species
CACGUAGGGGGCGAGCGUUGUUCGGAAUCAUUGGGCGUAAAGGGCGUGCAGGCGGUCCUGCAAGUCCGGCGUGAGAGACCCCGGCCCAACCGGGGGGACGCGCUGGAAACUGCAGGGCUUGAGUACAGGAGGGGAUGCCGGAAUUCCAGGUGUAGGGGUGAAAUCUGUAGAUAUCUGGAAGAACACCGAUGGCGAAGGCAGGCAUCUGGCCAUGUACUGACGCUGAGACGCGACGGUGCGGGGAGUAAACAGGUUUAGAUACCCUGGUAGUCCGCACAGUAAACGAUGUGCACCAGGUGGCGGGGGUAGAACCCUCGGUACCGUAGCAAACGCAUUAAGUGCACCGCCUGGGGAGUAUGCUCGCAAGGGUGAA